rnacentral:rRNA from 1 species
UUCGAAUUUUGGUGGAUUAGUGGCGAACGGGUGAGUAACACGUUGGUGACCAACCCCGAGGAGGGGGACAACUGUGGGAAACUACAGCUAAUACCCCGGAUGCUCAGAUGUUUAGAAAGUCUGAGUUAAAGCUCCGGUGCCUCGGGACGGGCCUGCGGGCUAUCAGCUUGUUGGUGGGGUAAUGGCCUACCAAGGCGAAGACGGCUAGGGGGCGUGAGAGCGUGGCCCCCCACAAUGGAACUGAGACACGGUCCAUACUCCUACGGGAGGCAGCAGUGAGGAAUAUCGCGCAAUGGGGGAAACCCUGACGCAGCAACGCCGCGUGGGUGAUGAAGGCUUUCGGGUCGUAAAACCCUUUUCUGGGGGACGAAACCAGACGGUACCCCAGGAAUAAGUCCCGGCUAACUACGUGCCAGCAGCCGCGGUAAAACGUAGGGGGCGAGCGUUAUCCGGAAUUAUUGGGCGUAAAGCGCACGUAGGCGGCAUGGUAAGUUGGACGUGAAAGCUCUCGGCUUAACUGAGAGAGGUCGUUCAAAACUGCGAUGCUUGAGACUAGAAGAGGAGAGCGGAAUUCCCGGUGUAGUGGUGGAAUGCGUAGAUAUCGGGAGGAACACCAGUGGCGAAAGCGGCUCUCUGGUCUACGUCUGACGCUGAGGUGCGAAAGCGUGGGGAGCGAACGGGAUUAGAUACCCCGGUAGUCCACGCUGUAAACGAUGGAUACUAGGUGUAGGAGGCUUUUAACCCCUUCUGUGCCGAAUCUAACGCGUUAAGUAUCCCGCCUGGGGA